rnacentral:misc_RNA from 1 species
AGCAGCCGCGGUAAUUCCAGCUCCAAUAGCGUAUAUUAAAGUUGUUGCAGUUAAAAAGCUCGUAGUUGAAUUUCGGGGUUAGUAGGUUGGUCAUGCCUCUGGUAUGUACUGGUCUCACUGAUUCCUCCUUCCUGAUGAACCUUAAUGCCAUUAAUUUGGUGUUUUGGGGAAUUUGGACUGUUACUUUGAACAAAUUAGAGUGUUUAAAGCAAGCUAACGCUUGAAUACAUUAGCAUGGAAUAAUGAAAUAGGACGUUCGAUCCUAUUUUGUUGGUUUCUAGGAUUGACGUAAUGAUUAAUAGGGAUAGUUGGGGGCAUUAGUAUUCAAUUGUCAGAGGUGAAAUUCUUGGAUUUAUUGAAGACUAACUACUGCGAAAGCAUUUGCCAAGGAUGUUUUCAUUAAUCAAGAACGAAAGUUAGGGGAUCGAAGACGAUCAGAUACCGUCGUAGUCUUAACCAUAAACUAUG